rnacentral:rRNA from 1 species
ACGGAGGGUGCAAGCGUUGUUCGGAAUCACUGGGCGUAAAGCGCGUGUAGGCGGCCUCCUAAGUCUGGUGUGAAAGCCCGGGGCUUACCCCCGGAAGUGCACUGGAUACUGGGAGACUAGAGUACCGGAGAGGAGGGUGGAAUUCCUGGUGUAGCGGUGAAAUGCGUAGAUAUCAGGAAGAACACCGGUGGCGAAGGCGGCCCUCUGGGACAACACUGACGCUGAAGCACGAAAGCGUGGGGAGCAAACAGGA